CCUACGGGGGGCAGCAGUGAGGAAUAUUGGUCAAUGGACGAGAGUCUGAACCAGCCAAGUAUCGUGAAGGAUGACUGCCCUAUGGGUUGUAAACUUCUUUUAUAUGGGAAUAAAAUGUUCCACGUGUGGGAUUUUGUAUGUACCAUAUGAAUAAGGAUCGGCUAACUCCGUGCCAGCAGCCGCGGUAAUACGGCGGAUCCGAGCGUUCUCUGGAUUUAUUGGGGUUAAAGGGAGCGUAGGUGGAUUGUUAAGUCAGUUGUGAAAGUUUGCGGCUCAACCGUAAAAUUGCAGUUGAAACUGGCAGUCUUGAGUACAGUAGAGGUGGGCGGAAUUCGUGGUGUAGCGGUGAAAUGCUUAGAUAUCACGAAGAACUCCGAUUGCGAAGGCAGUUCACUGGACUGCAACUGACACUGAGGCUCGAAAGUGUGGGUAUCAAACAGGAGUAGAUACCCGUGUAGUC
rnacentral:rRNA from 1 species